GCCAUGCUAGCUCAAUCGGUAGAGCGUGAGACUUUUAAUCUCAAGGUUGCGGGUUCGACCCCCGCGUGGGGCU
rnacentral:tRNA from 1 species